rnacentral:rRNA from 1 species
CCCUUAGAUGUUCUGGGCCGCACGCGCGCUACAAUGAUGAAUUCAACGAGUUUAUAACCUUGGUUGAAAAGCCUGGGUAAUCUUUUGAACUUUCGUCGUGAUGGGGCUAGACCCUUGCAAUUAUUGGUCUCCAACGAGGAAUUCCUAGUAAACGCAAGUCAUCAGCUUGCAUUGAUUACGUCCCUGCCCUUUGUACACACCGCCCGUCGCUACUACCGAUUGAACGGUUUAGUGAGGGCCUCGGAUUGGUCUCGGCCCGCUCUUUACCGGGCGGCGCCGUUGGUCGAGAAGACGCUCGAACUCGAUCGUUUAGAGGAAGUAAAAGUCGUAACA